AGAGGCGGAACUUUGGGAGACUCAACAUAUUCAGACUGACACGGAGAACUUUACACAUCUUGCACGAUAUGACUGAGGGGACGCACUUGCGUAGGCGAGGGGGGCCGCACAAGACGGAAGCAGCCACGGACAUGAGCCGCUGGCGGCUGACCAGCGCUGACGGCAGGCAAACCUGGCGUUACGUGGACGAUGUCGACGGUCCAGAGAGAGAGCAGACCAUGCUAGAGGCCCAUUCUUUAGGCUUGGACACGACAAAGUUUGUGUGUGACUCCCCGCCCGCCAGCACAGCCUUACGAGCAGCCAUGAAGGGUAUGCUCUUCUACAGUCACCUCCAGGCGGAGGACGGCCACUGGGCGGGGGACUAUGGUGGACCUCUCUUCCUGCUUCCAGGUCUACUGAUCACUUGCCAUAUAGCUAAGAUCCCUCUGCACGAGGCUUGGAAGUUGGAGAUGAUUCGAUACUUGCGCUCUGUUCAGCUUCCAGAUGGAGGCUGGGGCCUACAUAUUGAAGAUAAAUCAACAGUAUUUGGCACAGCUCUGAGCUACACCUCGCUAAGGAUUCUGGGUGUCGGUCCAGAUGACCCAGAUAUGGUUCGAGCGAGGAACAACCUACACAGCAAAGGUGGUGCAGUUGGGAUUCCUUCAUGGGGGAAAUUCUGGCUGGCCAUUCUCAAUACCUACAGCUGGGACGGAAUGAACACGCUGCUACCAGAGAUGUGGUUGCUCCCCACUUGGAUGCCGGCUCACCCCUCGACGCUGUGGUGCCACUGCCGCCAGGUGUACCUCCCCAUGAGCUACUGCUAUGCUGUCCGACUCGCCGCUGAGGAGGACGCCCUGGUCCUCGGCCUCAGACAGGAGCUUUAUGUCCAGGACUAUGCUAGUAUUGACUGGCCAGCUCAGAGGAGCAACGUGGCACCGUGUGAUUUAUACACACCUCAAAGCACACUUCUGACUGUCUCUUACAUGGUGCUAAACGUGUAUGAGGCUCACCACAGCGCCGCGCUGAGAGGAAUGGCUGUCAAAGAAUUAUAUGAGCACAUUCAAGCUGAUGACCGCUUCACAAAAUGCAUCAGCAUUGGACCGAUUUCCAAGACAAUCAACAUGCUGGUCCGCUGGUCCGUGGACGGUCCGUCUUCUCCAGCCUUCCAGGAGCACGUUUCCAGGAUCCCCGACUACCUCUGGUUGGGACUCGAUGGCAUGAAAAUGCAGGGCACCAAUGGCUCUCAGCUCUGGGACACUUGCUUCGCUGUGCAGGCUUUCCUCGAGGCAGGAGCCCAGGACGACCCUGAACUCGCCGAGUGUCUCGGACGUGCCCACAAGUUUCUCACCGUCACGCAGAUUCCAGAUAAUCCCCCAGAUUACCAAAAGUACUACAGACAGACAAACAAGGGAGGUUUCCCCUUCAGUACCCGGGACUGUGGCUGGAUAGUGGCGGACUGCACGGCUGAGGGUCUCAAGACGUUGAUGUUACUGGACGAGCUGUGCCCCUCCAUCAGCAAACCUGUCGCUUUGGAGCGCCUGCACGAUGCUGUCAAUGUGCUGUUGAGCAUGAGAAACUCAGAUGGAGGAUUUGCCACAUACGAAACAAAGAGAGGGGGGAGACUCCUGGAGCUGCUCAACCCGUCUGAGGUGUUUGGCGACAUCAUGAUAGAUUAUACCUACGUGGAAUGUACGUCAGCGGUGCUCCAGGCUCUGAGGCACUUCCAAAAAGUCCACCCAGAACACCGCGCCGAGGAAAUAAGCAACACCCUGAGAGAAGGACUGGAUUAUUGUCGGAAGGUGCAGAGGCCAGAUGGAUCCUGGGAAGGGUCCUGGGGAGUGUGUUUCACAUACGGGACCUGGUUUGGCCUCGAAGCCUUGGCUUGUAUGGGCCACGUCUACAGGAACAGCAGGGAUGUAUGUGCCGAGGUGCAGAGAGCUUGUGGGUUCCUGUUGGAUCAGCAGAUGUCAGACGGCGGCUGGGGGGAGGACUUUGAGUCGUGUGAGCGGCGUUGCUACGUUCAGAGCCGCUCCGCUCAGAUCCACAACACCUGCUGGGCUUUGCUAGGACUCAUGGCUGUCAGACACCCAGACCAGCAGGCCAUUGAAAGAGGAAUACAACUACUGGUUGAUAAGCAGCUUCCCAAUGGAGACUGGCCUCAGGAGAACGUUGCAGGCGUGUUCAACAAGAGCUGUGCUAUCAGCUACACCUCCUACAGAAAUGUCUUCCCUAUUUGGACCCUUGGACGCUUCUCUACAUUAAACCCUGGCAGUUCUCUGACGGGAAAGCUCAACUUGUGAAUCAACUUGCCCGGUGUGAAGGUUUCCCUCUUGGGUGGGUUCUCCUGGCUGACAGAUCUUCAGGAGCCCGUCCCGCGUCUCUCCCUGGCUCCAACUCCAAACUCCUCUGUCUCGUUCCGGCUGCUGCUAAUAAAGGCGACAGGUGAUUAGAUAACAAGGCCCACCCGGGCCAUCUACACACCUGUCUUCGAGGCCGGUCCUUGCACACCCCGUUCCGCGGCAGGCCCGCAGGCCACGCCCCCCCUCCACAGUAGGCUAACUCAACUAAACCAGUAUCUCUUAGGGCUCUGGUUCACUCUCCCAUCCGCUCUGCUACUUUCGCUUUUACGAAAAAUCCCAUCGUAAAAACCUCACUUAGGAUCUGGAUUCAGUUUAAGCGCUAGUUUGCUGGUCUUGCACCAAUCACAGCUAAUCAUGCUUUCCCUCCCUCUCUUGUCGAUAGUGCCUUUUUAAGAUGGUGAAGUCUGAAGAUCAACAGUAUUAAAUAUUUAUACCUUGACAACACUUUUGCCUCUUUCACGCCCUAAUCAACACUUUUUUAAGAUAUCUACAGAUCCGUAAAUAUUGUUCGUAAUACUUUUCCCAGGUUUCCAAACAUACCGACUAACACAGUUUUAGAUGUGUUUCUUCCAACUUUAAAAGCAUGAAUUACACAUAUUUAUAACCUAAUCUUUGAGGUAACCCCUCUGUUAUCUUCUCUCAGCAAAUCCAAAAAUAAUGUACUUUGUUAGCUAGAAGACUUAUUGUGCUUAACUGGAAGGCUGCAUAUCAGAGAUAUUUUUUAUUUUCUUAAAUUAGAGAAAAUUAUGCUGACAUUGAAUGGUUGUUCUGUAAAAUUUCAAGAAGUAUGGGGUGCUUUCUUAAAAUAUGUAAAGGAGACUGAUCUCCAGUUUGGCCCCUAUUGAGAUGUGAUUGAAUUGUGGGUGAUUGAUGAGCCUUUUGUUUGGGUAUGUGUAUGACUGCACCAUGUUGAGGCCAUUUGGAAGUCCAGUUGUCUGUGGCUUCAUGUCAAUAUUUGCCUGUACUUAUUUGACUUAAAAAAAAAAUUUUUUUGAAGGGGUGGGAGAAAAAAAUGACAUUUUAUUUGUAUUGUAUUCAUGCCAACUAUGUGUCAAAAAUUUCAAUAAAUAAUUUUUAAAAAGUCAUACGUUUGAUUUAUUCAACACUCAGAUCUUCAGAACAACUUCAGGUCCGUCGAUAUAAAGUUUUUUGUUUUUUUUAUGUUCUCUUUUUGUCAAA